rnacentral:rRNA from 1 species
UGUUUAAAUGUUCCAGCUAUUCUCUAUUUCCUUGAAAAGGGUGCUCAACCGACAAGAACUGUUUAUGAUAUUUUAAGGAAGGCGGAAUUCUUUAAAGAAAAAGAAAGCACUUUGAGUUAA